rnacentral:rRNA from 1 species
UACGUAGGGUGCAAGCGUUAAUCGGAAUUACUGGGCGUAAAGCGUGCGCAGGCGGUUUGUAAGUCUGACGUGAAAUCCCCGGGCUUAACCUGGGAAUUGCGUUGGAGACUGCAAGGCCGGAGUCUGGCAGAGGGGGGUAGAAUUCCACGGUGAUAGCAGUGAAAUGCGUAGAGAUGUGGAGGAACACCGAUGGCGAAGGCAGCCCCCUGGGUCAAGACUG